AGUCUGGUGCCAGCAGCCGCGGUAAUUCCAGCUCCGCAAGUGUAUAUCUAUGUUGCUGCGGUUAAAAAGCUCGUAGUUGGAUCUGCGUGUUUAGCGUCCGGUUCGACUUUUGGUCGUUACUGGAACGCGACACAGAUGUGCUGGUUUGCCGUUGAUGCUCUUAACCGGGUGUCAGUGGCGGCUAGCGAGUUUACUUUGAAAAAAUUAGAGUGCUCAAAACAGGCGUUUCGCCUGAAUAUUUCUGCAUGGAAUAAUAGAAUAGGACUUCGAUUCUAUUCUGUUGGUUUUCGGAAUGCGAAGUAAUGAUUAAGAGGGACAGACGGGGGCAUUCGUACUGCGACGUUAGAGGUGAAAUUCUUGGAUCGUCGCAAGACGUACUACUGCGAAGGCAUUUGCCAAGAAUGUUUUCAUUAAUCAAGAACGAAAGUUAUGGGUUCGAAGGCGAUCAGAUACCGCCCUAGUCAUAACCGUAAACGAUUCAAACUGGGCGCCCGACGGUGUUUUUAUUGACCCGUCGGGAACCCUCCCGGAAACGAAAGUGUUCGUGUUCCGGGGGAAAUAUGUCUGCAAAGAGGAAACUUAAAGGAAUUGACGGAAGGGCACCACCAGGGGUGGAGCCUGCGGCUUAAUUUGACCCAACACGGGGAAACUCACCCGGCCCGGACACCGUAAGGAUUGGCAGAUUGAGAGCUCUUUCUUGAUUCGGUGGGUGGUGGUGCAUGGCCGUUCUUAGUUGGUGGAGUGAUUUGUCUGGUUUAUUCCGAUAACGAACGAGACUCUGGCCUGCUAACUAGUGUUCACAUCUUUACGUGUGCUUCGCUUCUUAGAGGGACAGGCGGCUUCCAGCCGCAUGAAGAAGAGCAAUAACAGGUCUGUGAUGCCCUUAGAUGUCCGGGGCUGCACGCGCGCUACACUGAAAGAAUCAGCGUGUACGUUACCUGGCUCGAAAGAGUCGGGUAAUCCGGUGAAAAUCUUUCGUGAUUGGGAUCGGGACUUGCAAUUAUUUCCCUUGAACGAGGAAUCCCUAGUAAGUGCGGGUCAUCAGCUCGCGCUGAUUACGUCCCUGCCCUUUGUACACACCGCCCGUCGCUGCCCGGAACUGAGCCGUUUCGAGAAAAAUGGGGACUGUCUACUUGAGGUCUUCACGGACUUUUUGUAAAUGGAAACCGCUU
rnacentral:rRNA from 1 species